rnacentral:rRNA from 1 species
UACAGAGGGUGCGAGCGUUGUUCGGAAUUACUGGGCGUAAAGCGCGCGCAGGCGGCCUUUUAAGUCUGACGGUGAAAUGCCGGGGCUCAACCCCGGGACUGCGUCCGAUACUUCCGAGCUGGAGGUAGGUAGGGGAGAUCGGAAUUCCUGGUGUAGCGGUGAAAUGCGCAGAUAUCAGGAGGAACACCGGUGGCGAAGGCGGAUCUCUGGGCCUUACCUGACGCUGAGGCGCGAAAGCUAGGGGAGCGAACAGG